ensembl:lncRNA
UACUCUCCUCCCUUUCUGCAUCCCAUGACUUGCACUGUUCUCUUUCCAUGCAGCCAGCUCGUGGCUGAGUGACCCUCUGACUUCAAAAUGGCCAGAGUUGCUCCCCUCCACAAGCAACCAACACUUGACCACUCUGACGUCAAAAACUACAGACCGGAGGUGACACGGAUCUCUGCAUGCCUUGCAGAUAUCUCAGCUUGCAUGUCAGUCCACCACCUCAAGUUCAACCUCGACAAGACAUAGCUGCCUUUCCUCCUGGGGAAGGCCUAUUCGCUCCAAGACCUCUCCUUCACAGUUGACAACUCCACAGUGUCACCCUCCCAGAGUGCAAAUAACCUUGGCGUGACCCUGGACAACCGCC